rnacentral:rRNA from 1 species
UAGAAAGGUUUGAUCCUUGGUUUUAGGAUGAACGCCUGGCGGGCGUGCCUAAUACAUGCAAAGUCGAACGGGAGCAGCAAUGCUCCAGUGGCGAACGGGUUGAGUAAUACGUAGGUAACCUGCCCUUUGCAGGGGGAUAACCGGCGGAAAACGGCGGGUUAAUACCGCAUAGGUGGAGAGAUCGCAUGAACUUUCCCAUUAAAGGGUGGGAAACACCGGCAGAGGAUGGACCUACGGCGCAUUAGCUAGUUGGCGGGGCAGCGGCCCACCAAGGCGACGAUGCGUAGCCGGCCUGAGAGGGCGACCGGCCACACUGGGACUGAGACACGGCCCAGACUCCUGCGGGAGGCAGCAGUAGGGAAUUUUCGGCAAUGGGGGGAACCCUGACCGAGCAACGCCGCGUGAAGGAAGAAGGAAUUCGUUCUGUAAACUUCUGUUAUAAAGGAAGAAAGGAUGCCGGAGGGAAUGCCGGCGUAGUGACGGUACUUUAUGAGAAAGCAGGCUUACUACGUCCACGAGCGCGGUAAUCGAGCGAUUCCC